rnacentral:rRNA from 1 species
CGCCUGUUUAACAAAAACAUUUUCUUUAGAUUUAGUUUAAAGAUAAGGCCUGCUCAAUGAAAUAUUUAAAUGGCCGCAGUAUCAUGACUGUGCUAAGGUAGCAUAAUAAUUUGCCUUUUAAUUGGGGGCUGGAAUGAAAGGUUUUAUGGAAAAUAGCUGUUUUAAAAGAAAAAUUUGAAUUUAAGGUUUGUAUAAAAACUUGCAAAAGCUCUCAAGGGACGAGAAGACCCUGUGGAUUUUUAUUUAUUAAAAAGUAAAUUUUAUAAUAUUUUAUUUUUUAUUUAAAUUUGGUUGGGACGACAGCAUAGUUAACUAGCGAAAGUUGGAUAUAGUGACCCUAUUUAAGGUAAAAAGAACAAAUUACCCCAGGGAUAACAGCGUAAUACUUUUGGACAGGACAAAUGGAUAAAAGUGUUUGCGACCUCGAUGUUGAAUUAAAAUAUCUUUGUUAAGUAUAAAUAACAAAAGUAAGUCUGUUCCACUUUUAAAAUUUUACGUGAUCUGAGUUCAGACCGG